ACCCCUAUGCUUGCCUUAUACUCGUAUUAGGUUUGUUUAGGUUGUAUAAAUUGUAUUUGAUAUAGGGAUAGACAAUUGACGACGCGUUUAUGCCCUUGUCAAUUGUGUAUGGUUUGAAACCAUGAAAUUCAAGGUUAAUCCGUGUACAUGGUUUUGAUGAUCCUGUUUCUCUAAUUUGGUAGAAAAUGAGAAGCAAUAGAGUUGUGCGAUCGAAGAAUAAGUGUUGGAAACAAUUUGUGGUGAUUAAUUCUUACUGAUUAUUUAGAGUAUUGUGGUUGAAAUGUGUGCAGUACUGAAACGAAUGUGUUGGUGACUAGAUCCCAAGAAUGUCAAGGAUCCUCUCAAGAAAGUCAAUGAUCCUUCUUCCAAGACUGUGGCUGCUAGCAAAAGCAAAGUGGGUGAAGCAAAGGCAAAGAAUAGUAAGUAAGUCUUUGAUGAUUCGGAGUAUGAGUAUGAUGAUAAUUCUGAAGACAAUGGUUCCAAUAAUACGCAGAGAGUGUAGGGGAGUCCUCUUCUUUGGAAUCGGGGGUGCACAACUUGCUUAAGACCUUGAUGAGGAAGAGUAAGAAGAGGAGAGGCAAAGAACAUGAGCAUGCAUACAAGAGGCAGAAGGUAAUAAGCAAAGGGAAUAAGGUAAUAAGCAAAGGGCUGGCUUUGAAGACCCACUUUGACAAUGUAGGAAAGUACCCAACAUUGUUUGUAGAGUUGAGUCCUUUUGCCGGUUUGUUUCCUAUUUUGAUGAAAGAAGACGGGAGCUAGUGACAACAAUGGGUUUCGAUGCGCUGCUCAAUUUAGACUUGGAUUAUAUACCAAUUUAAUUGUGCUACUGGUUGAUUACAAGAGUGAGGGCUGAUGGUACAGUGGUAUUUGGGGAAGGAGAGAUUUUACCUCUAUGUGCUAAUCAAGUGAGUUCAGUCCUUGGGAUUCCGAUGCCAAACCAGUUCCCAUGGAUAUGGAUCCGGAUGAUGAGGAGAAGGUGGAGAAGAUGCGUAGGGUUUUUGUUUUGUAUGGGGUUGGUAAGGAUAAAUAAAAUGUGUCAUUGAAAUUUGUUUCGGCGGCAUUGUGUCCGUUGGAUAGUGCAGGUAAGCCGGUGCCCCUGGAAAAUGAAGUUGACAAGGAGCUUUUUAUGUUUACAUUUUUAAUUGUGGUGCUUGGGAAAGUGGUUUGUACGACCACUAAUGGUUCUAAUUUGGCGGCGUCAUUAGUUCCUUGCUUGACAAUUGCUAGUGAGGCAUACAAGUAUGAUUGGUGUACCUUAACGUUCAAUUGGGUAUGCAACACUGCAAAUAGAUUUCAAAGGAAGUUUCAGAAAGAUGGUUUUAGAUCUGUUUGUGGGGGUAGUUUAUUGUUUGUUAUGAUUUUUUAUCUGGAUCACUUACAUCGUGUUCCGGUGAAAUGAAACGUGUACCCAAGGGUGAAGGUGUGGAAGACUGAUGAGGUGUAGAAAGCUUUGAGUGAAGAUAGGUUGAUGAAGAAUGAGUAUGACAGGCUGCGAAUAUUGCAUACGGUGAGGAGCCUCCUCUGGUACCAAGGGAGGAUCAACCUGUAGUAACAGAGGACAGAGGUGGCAAGAAAAAUGGCACUAGUGAUGAAAUGAUGACUGGUAUCCUUGAUCGGUUUCUAGCUCAAUUGACAACAAAGCUAGUCAGUGCUAUUGAGAGUGUUGUGGCUAAUGCUCUAGGUAAUGGAAGCAAUGGGAAGGAAAGCAAUGAGAAGUCGAGGAUCCCUACCAAUGAGGAGGGCAAUGUCCGUUCAAACAAUGGCAAAACACAUACCAGCAAGACUGUGACAGAUUUUGAAAUGAAUAGAAAAACUAAUUCGGUAUCAGGUAACAAGGUCAAGGAUGUUGAAUAUUCUUGUAGUAGUAAGGAUUCCUCCGUUCUUGUGGUUGGUAACUGUCGCACUAGAAGCAAGACCUCUGUUGUUACCCCGAUGGAUAAGCGCUUGAUGACCUUUGUUUGUGGUUGGAAGGAAUUGAGGGAUAAUACACUUCCCGGACCAACGAUAAUUGAAUGCGAUGGCAUCGAUGCAAGUUUGUUAUCAGGUUUUGUCUGGUAGAGCUCGGGUUGGUGAUCAUUACGUGUGGAUGUCAGCUAAACUGUACACAAAAUCAUUGGCACGGAAGGAGUUCCUGGGACGAAGCAAAAGUAUUUUAAUGGACCCGUCAUAUGAGUUGAUGCUUAACUUGGGGAAGAAGAAUCAUGAGCAUUUGGUAAGGAAGUGAGGGAAAUCCUUCCUCACAAUCCCUCUAAGCCAAAUUAGAUGUGUUUUCAUCCUAGUGCUGGAGGUGGCAGCUGAAGAUGGUGAACAUUGAUGGUGCUUAGCCUUUGGGCUAAAGGCUCACGAAAUUCGGAUUAUCGACUCAUUGUAUGAGAAUCCUUUUGAGGAACAUGCUGCCAUUGUACAGAGCUGAACAGGGGAGUUGAUUUGAUGGUCUAGUUAAAUGAUCCACAGUGGGAAUUAGGGCACAUUCAAAAUUGGGCGAAGAGAAUUUUUUCGAUUAAGCAACCUGAUUGGAUAAGGUCAACACCAUUAGGCAGCAGCUGUUCUUGCACGAUGCAAACAACGAAUUCAAUGAGGUGAGGGACAAAUGGUAUGAAAUUCUGCCUGCAGAUCGAAGAGGGUGUAGGCGGCUUAACUCUGAAAUUACGGCGUAGCUUGACUGGUUUCAGUAACGAAAAAGCAUUUCGGCUAUAUGUACCUUUUUGUCUUGGAUUGUUUCUGUAUCUGGGUUUAUAAUUUUGAACUUUGGGCCUCUUAUGUAGGCCAUUUGGGCAUGUAUGUAGUAAUAUUGCUACAGUUAAUUUGGGCCUGUGUGUAGUAAUAUGGCUUUGUUGAUUUAGGUCUCUUAUGUUGGAUGAUGAGAAGCAACUAUUUUUAUUUUUUUCUUGAAAAGUUAUGCAUAAUGGCAUUGUUCAGGUCUACUAA